AUUGAACGAUGGCGGCAGGCCUAACACAUGCAAGUCGAACGAGUGGCGGACGGGUGAGUAAUGUCUGGGAAACUGCCCGAUGGAGGGGGAUAACUACUGGAAACGGUAGCUAAUACCGCAUACCAUCGGAUGUGCCCAGAUGGGAUUAGCUUGUAGGGGAGGUAACGCCUCACCUAGGCGACGAUCCCUAGCUGGUCUGAGAGGAUGGCCAGCCACACGGGAACUGGGCCAUGGGCCAGAAUCCUACGGGAGGCAGCAGUGGGGAAGAUUGCACAAUGGGCGAAAGCCUGAUGCAGCCAUGCCGCGUGUAUGAAGAAGGCCUUCGGUUUGUAAAGUACUUUCAGCGGGGAGGCGUUACCCGCAGAAGAAGCACCGACUAACUCCGUGCCAGCAGCCGCGGUAAUUC
rnacentral:rRNA from 1 species